CUCCGAUUUCUGGUUUGUUAACGGGGAUAACUGGCUUGUGGCAGCCAAGUAUUCAUAACGACGUUGCUUUUUGAUCUUUCGAUGUCGACUUUUCCUAUCAUACUGAAGCAGAAUCCAUUAUGCGUUGGAUUGUUCACCCACAGACCGCCGUCACAGGUUAGUU
rnacentral:ncRNA from 1 species